rnacentral:rRNA from 1 species
UACGGAGGGUGCGAUCGUUACCCGGAUUUACUGGGUGUAAAGGGCGUGUAGGCGGUCUCUCAAGUCCGAUGCUAAAGACCGAAGCUCAACUUCGGGGGUGCGUUGGAUACUGUGAGGCUAGACGGUCGGAGAGGGUAGCGGAAUUUCCGGAGUAGCGGUGAAAUGCGCAGAUACCGGAAGGAACGCCAAUAGCAAGGCAGCUACCUGGACGAUUGGUGACGCUGAGGCGCGAAAGCGUGGGGAGAAAACCGG